GGGCAAUCGAUAAUCUUGUGGCUGUGAUAAUAUGUAUAAUUAGAUACAGAUCUGCUAAACGAACUUUUGUAAAUCGAGGACUACCUGUAUAGACGGGGUUGGACUAGAAGACCUCUGAGGUCCCUUCCAACUAUUGUUAUUCUGCUUGUUUUUUACAGGAUGAUUCAGAAGACAGUGAAAGCAACGGAGAAGAGGAAGCUAUGCAGACUAUUCCCUCUACACAACCAGCUGCUACGCAUCUCUCUCCAGCCCCUGCACCCUACCUCCACUUUACAGCCCCUCCCAUCUCCGCUGUCCCCUUACCUGUACCAGCUCCAACAGGAACAGUCCCGGUUGCACUUCCGCCCGUGUCCCGCGCGCCAGUCCAGGCAGGAGAAGAGGAAGAUUAUGACACUUAACACACACACACACAACGCACCCUGGUUCCGUUUUCACUGCUGCCAUUCGGGAUGGGAGGGGCGGGGGGGUGGGGGAGAAUCACAGGGGGUUUGAAAGGGGCUGUUCUUAAAUUUAUUAAAAAAGA